rnacentral:rRNA from 1 species
AUGAACGCUGGCGGCGUGCCUAAUACAUGCCAGUCGAGCGAACAGACGAGGAGCUUGCUCCUCUGACGUUAGCGGCGGACGGGUGAGUAACACGUGGAUAACCUACCUAUAAGACUGGGAUAACUUCGGGAAACCGGAGCUAAUACCGGAUAAUAUAUUGAACCGCAUGGUUCAAUAGUGAAAGACGGUUUUGCUUUCACUUAUAGAUGGAUCCGCGCCGCAUUAGCUAGUUGGUAAGGUAACGGCUUACCAAGGCAACGAUGCGUAGCCGACCUGAGAGGGUGAUCGGCCACACUGGAACUGAGACACGGUCCAGACUCCUACGGGAGGCAGCAGUAGGGAAUCUUCCGCAAUGGGCGAAAGCCUGACGGAGCAACGCCGCGUGAGUGAUGAAGGUCUUCGGAUCGUAAAACUCUGUUAUUAGGGAAGAACAAAUGUGUAAGUAACUAUGCACGUCUUGACGGUACCUAAUCAGAAAGCCACGGCUAACUACGUG